CCUACGGGGAGCAGCAGUGGGGAAUAUUGGGCAAUGGGCGCAAGCCUGACCCAGCAACGCCGCGUGAAGGAAGAAGGCUUUCGGGUUGUAAACUUCUUUUAAGGGGGAAGAGCAGAAGACGGUACCCCUUGAAUAAGCCACGGCUAACUACGUGCCAGCAGCCGCGGUAAUACGUAGGUGGCAAGCGUUGUCCGGAUUUACUGGGUGUAAAGGGCGUGCAGCCGGAGAGACAAGUCAGAUGUGAAAUCCACGGGCUCAACCCGUGAACUGCAUUUGAAACUGUUUCCCUUGAGUGUCGGAGAGGGAAUCGGAAUUCCUUGUGUAGCGGUGAAAUGCGUAGAUAUAAGGAAGAACACCAGUGGCGAAGGCGGAUUACUGGACGAUAACUGACGGUGAGGCGCGAAAGCGUGGGGAGCAAACAGGAUUAGAUACCCGUGUAGUC
rnacentral:rRNA from 1 species